ensembl:miRNA
AAGGUCUCUCUGUCUUCUGUAUGUACCCUGUAGAUCCGAAUUUGUGUAAAAGAAGCUGUCUCACAAAUUCGCAUCUAGGGGAAUAUGUAGUUGACACAAACCCUACGGAGCG